rnacentral:rRNA from 1 species
UGGGAACCUGCCCUGUGGUACGGAACAACUCCGGGAAACUGGAGCUAAUACCGUAUGCGUCCUUUGGACAAAGAUUGCAUCGCCAUGGGAUGGGCCCGCGUAGGAUUAGCUAGUUGGCGGGGUAACGGCCCACCAAGGCUUCGAUCCUUAGCUGGUCUGAGAGGAUGAUCAGCCACACUGGGACUGAGACACGGCCUAGACUCCGUACGGGAGGCAG